rnacentral:rRNA from 1 species
AAUUUAACGAUGAAGAGUUUGAUCCUGGCUCAGGAUGAACGCUAGCGGCAGGCCUAAUACAUGCAAGUCGAGGGGUAACAGGAAGUGCUUG